rnacentral:rRNA from 1 species
UACGUAGGGUGCAAGCGUUAUCCGGAAUUAUUGGGCGUAAAGAGCUCGUAGGCGGUUUGUCGCGUCUGCUGUGAAAACUGGAGGCUCAACCUCCAGCCUGCAGUGGGUACGGGCAAACUAGAGUGCGGUAGGGGAGAUUGGAAUUCCUGGUGUAGCGGUGGAAUGCGCAGAUAUCAGGAGGAACACCGGUGGCGAAGGCGGGUCUCUGGGCCGUAACUGACGCUGAGGAGCGAAAGCAUGGGGGGCGAACAGG